rnacentral:rRNA from 1 species
ACUGCAUGAAGCCGGAAUCGCUAGUAAUCGCGGAUCAGAAUGCCGCGGUGAAUACGUUCCCGGGUCUUGUACACACCGCCCGUCACACCAUGGGAGUCGGAAAUGCCCGAAGCCGGUGGCCUAACCGAUAAGGGAGGAGCCGUCGAAGGCAGGUCUGAUGACUGGGGUGAAGUCGUAACAAGGUACC